AAUCCAAAAGAGAAUUUGGUGUGCUACAGUCAGGGUACUUAAGGACACUACACUAAUGAAUUAUAAUCAAUGCACAUAAUAACAACAAAAAAAGAAAGUUUGAGAUAAGAGAAUAGAAGAGCAUAAAAACAGGUUCAGAGGGGAAUGUAACCAACUGUAAUGAUCCUAUUUAAGAAAAAAAGUAUAUAUGAUUCCCCCCAUUUAUCCUUGUAAAAUUCUGCUGUAAUGUAUGGAAGCUUCUUUACCUUCAGAGAGAGCAGAACUGAGGGCAGCUUUGAACAGAAAACUGAGUCUAAAGCAGAAAAUGGAAAAGAUGCUGGAAACACUAACUGCUCCAGAUCUCUCAGUCAUUAGGACCUGACAACUGGGACAGAUCUUGCCAUUAUAGUCCACAUCAUUUCGGCUCUCAUUACAAUAUUUAGUCAAAACUUGUGACUUCUUGCAAGUCUUGCCGGAGAUGCUCUAACCGUGUAUCCUGCUGCUGAUCCUCCGGAUCAGACUUGAAAUCACAUGUUCUUCAUCUUAAAAACUCCUCUCAUGUUAAGCUGCGGUCACAUGGAUUCAGGCAGAUGGUAGGUGGCCAUGCCUGUCACCGUUGGGCUUUGAAAAUAAGGGGAGAUUUUCCCUGACCCCACACAGCAAAUUCACUGGAGUCAAAAUUCUAGUGUUGAGGCACUGGUGCUGGUUCUGUGGAAUCAACUCUGUACCUGGUGAGAGAACCUAAUGUUGUUGGUGUAAGAUCACAGAUUUACUGUAUUCAACACCUAUGAAUGUAACUGUUAUGGAACACAGAUUGGACCAAAACAUCUAGUUUGGUGUCUGUAAUAUUAUGUCAAGUUUGUACGUCUUAAGAUGACAGAAAUUAACCAGUCCAUUUCGAACAUCUUAAGGCGUCUUAAGGCUUCCAUGCUAUUGGUUGGUGUCAACAUAUCCACCCCUUUUUGAAGGAGCUACAUUGGGCUGUAGGUAUACCUACGUUGUGGGCUCUUGCUAGUGGGUACAUUUGUGCUACAUACCUAUUACAUGACUUAUAGAACUGGGACUCCAUUUGUGCGGGGUGGAUCAAUUUGUGUAGGUACUUUUGAACUUGGUGGCUGAGGAGAGCAAAGAAUGGCCUCAAGAAACUUUUUGAAUGGCUGUGGUCGUACAUUUGCAGAAUAUACCUAGCUUUUAUCAUCAGAUGACCAACAACUGUGCUCUGCUCGACUCUCCCCUCUCUUACCUUCACUCCACUCUGUUUCCGUUCCCUGCUCCCAAGAGGAAAAAACUUGUUCCAAAUUUGCUCCUUUUUUCUGCAAAUCAGCCAAAAAAACUGUAGUGUUUUGACUCAAAUUAUUUUAAUAAUCUGGGCAACCCAUGCUAUUUAUUCAUCACAACAGGAAAAGAUGAUAGCCUAAACCAAUACGAUUGUUACUAAUAUACAACAAAGGGAUUAUUAUCCAUAGUUUAUGGAAAGUCUCUAUUUUAGAUUUAAAUAACAAGGAAUGCAACAAAAAUACUCAAAUGUGUGUAUAAUGCACACAUUGUCUACAGAAAAAAACUAUGCGUUAUAGUCUGAUUAUAGGGACAAUUACUGAAGGAAAACAGAAAAAUAUUAGGCUGACUAGGUUAUGAAUUUAGGACAUGUGAAAAGAAGGAAUCACAGCGACAGUGAAACUUUGUCCAAUAAUAGUUAAGAGUUAGUUAUUAAUUUUAUUGUUAGUUAUUAAUUUUAAUUAAUAAAAUCACAACAGGCGGUCAAAGUGGGGAUUUGAACAUUUAAUAUCAAAUACCAAGGAAUAUGCCAAAUAUAUGUAAUCAUCUGGGCAGGGGUGCUGCUUAGGUAAUGCAACAUCGUGAGUGCCACAGAGCAAAUUUAGCAAGCUUGAGUGGGACAUCUUUUCAAGUUCAAGUAUCUGUUCUUAAAUAUGUCAAUGGUUCAAGUGCUCUCCUCGCCCAGGUUAAAUUAAUGGUGCUCUGCUCCCUUCUCCACUCCAACUCCGCUCUGCUCCCAUGCUCUGAUAGCCACUGUACUCUAUAUCCUCUACAGGUUCUCAUUCUUAUCCAGAAGGUGAACAACAAACCAUAUGUGUGUUUUCAUCCAGUCUCAAUUAUAUAAGAAUUUCUUUCUAUACACAAGUGUGGUGUAUUAAACAGGAAAACUGUGAUUUCUAAUCAACAGUCUGUUCAUGAAAGGACAAAAGUUAAAUUUGAUUUUUUUUUAACAUAAUAGUCACAAUGUAAAAUAUAAUUCACAUCACCAUUACAUUAAAAAAUAGUGGCUGCACUAAAAAUGUCACCAGUCUACAUCGAAAUCAAUGGCUUGAAGAGCACCAGAUUCUUUCUUUUUCUUCCAGUCUACUCAAAAUUCAACAGGUUGCCAGUUGUGCUCUAAUACUCUAGUGGGCACUUAAUCGAACACACCACAUUAAAUGAAUAUGUCAAGUAUGAAUUGUAUACAAGCUACAUUUUUCUCAAAAAGUAUCCAGUAGUCUAAAAAAAAAGAAGAUGUUAAUAAUGUCACUAAAUAUCAAUGUUAUUUCGUAAGUCCAUUUCAGUCAAUAUCUUUCAUACAAGGAAGGUUGAGUGGUGUAAUUGUUUUCUCUCUUGCAAUGAUUGAAGGGUUUCCCCUCAGAAACUGAUUAAGUGGUAGCACCCAAUUUUAAACGCCUUAAAACUUUCAAAAUGGAUGUCAUCACUUUAAUAUGUGUUUUGGCAGGUUACAGAAGACAAAGUCACAGAGUUAUUGCUCAAGGAGGAGGUUUGUGAAGGCCAAGGAGCAAAAAUCUGACUUCAAAGAGGUGAAGGACAACAUUUAAAAAAGCCAGGAUAAAGUCUGAAGAGGAAAGGAGGAGACAGGCCAAGAGGACAAUUUGGUGAAAUCAGGUGGGAGAUCUUGUCCUACAAAAGAACAUCAGACAAGAGCAGAGAAAAGGGGGGUGGGGAUGGAGACAACAUGCCGGGACCCCUCAAAAUUAUAUCUCUUGAUGGCAAGAGUGCUGACUUGGUGUCUGAAAGGGGGAAAAACACAGUCAAAAUAAACAUUGAUCACCAGCCAGGGGAGAGGAUCCCUGCCAAACUGAGAAAAAUGUUGGAUCCCUCUCCUCUGGCUGGUCCAUCAGAGACAAUCCCACUACAUAUACAAACCUCAACACAACACAUACAGACUUCACAGACGUGCACCUCAUUACACCUGACACCUUGAACAUCUUCCCAGUCUCCGGACCCCUGUGACGAUGCAGAAACCUGUGAGUAAACUGACAUACAUUACACCUAAAAUGAUGCAUUUCAUCAUAUGACUGACAUUGACAUUGUUUACAGUAAUCAGAAACAUAUGGCUGGGAGAAAACCAAUGGCACUGUGGUCAAGGAUUGGACCAUAUAAAAUAUAUUCAGAGAAUAUUAUGGAUUCGGCCCAGAGGAAAGAGUUGGAGAAUGAGGCAUAUGUUUCUAAAAUACUUCUUCUGAUGUUUAUCUUUAGGAUUGUUAGGAAAAAAUGGAUCACAAGUCACUCUUGCACUUAUAGAUUGUGAAUGCAUACUUAAUGGCUGUGGGAAGGAAAGUGGGUGCGCUCAUUUUGGACUCCUACUUGAUGAUGUCAGUCUGGCAGGAAUCUGAAAAAGGCCUAAGGUGGGUAGGAUUUCAGCUGUUACACAAUCAGAUAAAAUCCCCUUCAGAUGUGUAUGUGUGUUAAUUUCUGUGUUUUGUUUCCAUACAACAUCCAUACAGACAUAAUACACAAUAAAGAACAGAAUAAAUAGAAAAUAGAACAAUUGCACAAAGGCUAGUCUGAACAAAUGGGUCUUGAGCUGAUUUCUAUAGGUGUCCACAGUGUCCACAGAUCUUAAAUCCACUGGGAGAGUUCCAAAGUUUAGGAGCCACAACCUCAAAAGCUCAGUCUAGGCUCGUUCUAGGAACAACCAGCAAACCCUGAUUAGAAGACCUUAGGUACUUGCUGGUGACGUAGGGCUGCAGCAGAUCUGUAGGCAGGUGCCUGACCAUGCAGAGUGGUGAUCUCCAUGGUGAUCACAAGAACUUUGAAUUGGAUUCUGAAUUUGAUGGGGAGCCAGUGAAGAGCAAUCAGAAUCGGUAUCACUUGAGACCUUUUGGAGGACCUGGAGUUUAGCAGCAGCAUUUUGGACCAUUUAUAAACGAUCCAGGGAUGUUUUGCUGAGACAGGUGAAAAGGGGGUUACAACAGUCAAGACCUGACAAUAUAAAGGCAUGAAUUAUGCUUGAGACACAAUGGGCCUGAGCUUUCCAAUGUUUCUCAGCUGGAAAAAACAAGAGUGAAUCAGACACUUGACAUGUUGGUCCAAAGUCAGAGCCUGGUCUAUAGUGACACCUAGAUUUCUUAUGGAUGAUUUAAUCGACGAGGUAAGAGACCCAAGACCAUCCCUUAUCUGAAAGAUAACACUAGAAGGAGCAGAAAUAAGGCUUUCAGUUUUUUCUGCAUUUAGCUGUAAGAAAUUAUCUGCCAUCCAGUCUUUUAGAGCAUUUAUCCAAUUAUCUAAAACUGACAAUUUGGCUAUGUUUUGAGGUUUAAAUGAGACAUAUAAUUGAAUAUCAUCUACGUAGCAGUGAUAGGACAUACCUUUAAAGUGCCUUAUUAUCUGUCCAAGGGGAAGCAUAUACAAGGCAAAUAGAAUAGGACCAAGGACUGAACCUUAGGGCACACCACAAAACAGAGUGUCAGAAUAGGAGGCGAAGUUGCCUGGAUCAGAGGACAGGAUUUUGCUAAACUUUUCCCUUUCUGUAAUGGUUGGAGCCCAGUAUCUCUUCAGGCUGCCAUCACAUCUGUGCCCAGUCACAGACAUUAUCUGUAACAUUUUUUUGCCAUAGGGUUUUGCGCAUGAGCUGUACUUGGUCAUUUUUAAAGGCCUUAUUUCUGCAGAUUGAUAUGAUUAGAUGUAGUUCUCCAGAGUCUAUGAACAGGACUGUGUCCUUAGCAACAGUCUGUUAUUCAUAGCAGCGGUCUGCAGAAAUAACAGACUGUAGAAUGGCGUAAUUGACCAAUCAGAAUCGAAUACUCAACAAAGCUGUGUAAUAAGAUAUAAUUUGAAACUUAUCGAAGAUAUUUCACUCAUCUAUUGCAGUUGUGAGCUGCUUAGCAACCACUUUUUCUAAUAGUUUGGCUACAAAGGGUAACUUGGAGAUGGGCCUGUAAUUUUGGGGUAGAGAUGGAUCAAAGUUUGAUUUUUUGAGUGGUUGAAUAAGAAUGUUUGAAUUGAGCAGGUUAUGGAGAGCACAGAAGGAUCCUGGAAUCCUUUACCACAUUAUAGAAAGACAUGAAAAGUUAUUUUAAAUAAAGAUAGUGGACAUUUAGUUGGAUGGAUUUUCAUAGGCAUUCCACUCUCCUACAGUCUCUCUUAAGGGGGCGAAUGCUGUCAUUUAUCCAAGGGGAAGACUUGAUCAAAGGAGCUGAUCUAGUUUUAAUAGGGGCCACUUUAUCUAAUGCUGAAAGGCAUUGUUCAUUAAAAGACUGCACCAAGUAGUCAACAUCACAGUGCAUAUCAGAAUUAAAAUGAAAAGUGGCAGAAAACUUUGUAGCAGAAAGGUGGUUAAGGAUGCGAAAGCUAAUGGUAUGGCAGCAAGGUAAAGAAUCCAGAUUGAAAGGAAUACAGAUUAAAAGGAAUCCAGGUUAAAAGAUAAAUCAAACAAAAUACAGUUGUGGUCAGUAAUAAAAAGAUCCUCGAAAAAUAAAGAAUCAAUAUUCAAACCGAGAGUAAAAACAAGGUCCAGAGUAUGUCCUCUUUUGUGUGUAGGACUUUAUACAUGCUGAGUGAGAUUAAAAGACUGCAAUGAUAAAUGUGGAUAAUUUAAGGAUAGAGGACAAAAAGUCAGUGAAUUCAGUUGAAAAUGAUCUGUUUGGGCCAGAUGGAUGGCAGAUUAAAAUACAGUAAAAAGGAUUAGUACAAGAGUAUUGGCUGUAAUGUUUAAUUUCAUAUUUUAUCAUUAUGUAUCUGAAGGAGAGGAGAGCCUUGUUCUUGGACCCAUUUGGAGCCACCCAAGAACAAACAAAUUGGUGCAAGGAUGUAACAAGGCUCACACAUGGAUUGGUGAGAAGUUUGCCAAACAGUGAUUCUGUGGUCCUUAUGUGAAGAGCACCGGUCUGCAAACAGUGUCCAGCAGUGGCAAGAUGGGCGUGCUCCACAAUGAGCCAUCCCCAUCAGCAGGACACAACAUCAUGCAGCGUCUUUGUGUGCAAGGUUACUAACUGAUUAUCUCUCUGUCAAUCUGGCAUUGUGACAUUAUAAUUAUACUUAUCACACACCCAUGAUGUCAUAGCUCGCAGAGCAAAUCCUGAUGUGGAAGACUGUCCAGUUCCCUGUGCACCAGGAAGGGAUAGCCAGGUUGAGGCUGAACAUGACAGCAUCUUUGUUAAAAGACUCACUUAUACUAUACAAGGUAAACAAAAUCUAUCUAUAAUCAAAAUGUCUGCAGACUUUGUUACAUGCCUGUAUUUUACCUGUACAGAUGACCUAUCCCAGCUGUGUCGGGCCUGUGGGGAGGACAGCUCAGGGACUGACAUUGAUGAAUGGGUAAGAAUAUUAAUUUAACUUCAGACCAACUUUUGACCAAAAGACUGGGAAGAACCUUGGAUGCAUGUUUUUACACUUUUGGAGGACACUGGAGCACCUGAAGGAAAUUUAAGGAGAACAUGCUGACUCCAAAGACCCACAACUAGUAUUUAAACUCAGAAUCAGACACACUGGCAUACAGGUUUAAAAAAUAAUAUGGUAUUCUCCAUAGUUUACGUUUUCUUCAUUUCCCUUUCAGAUUCACUGCACCACACACAAACUGUGGUAUCACCUCUCCUGUGUUAGAAAUCCCUCCACAGAGACAGACUAUUUAUGCUCUGCAUGAAGAAAAAAAAACAUAUACAUAUAUUACUGAUCAUUAUUGUUGUCCUUCCUUAUAACGUGUCACAUUAUUGUUUAAGCCCAGUUGCUAUUAUAACAAGACACAAAGCUUGCAUUUUAACUUAUUUGUCUUUAAACAAGAGCUGCCAUUUUGCCUAUUCUGUUUUGUUGAACUAUUUGAUUUUGGUGGGUUUUAAUAAUGCAAGUAUAGCUACAAUAUGCUCUAAAUCUAUCUUGCAUUAUGCUGUAUGUCAGUCUAUAAUCCACAAUGCAUGCUAGUUUGCUGAAAUCUGGAACACAAGUAUAAACACCACAAGCAUUGUUCUUAAGGAUUUUAGAAGCAUUAAGGUUUUAUUAUUGUACAGUGUUUCUUAAUGAUGUCACAACAAGAUGAACGGAUUGUCAUCUCCUCUUGCCUUAGUGACAUGCAGUCAUCACAUGUAAAAAAUUGUAACAAUCAAAGCUCCAGCGGUCAAAUCCUGCAUGAGUUUUCUUUGUUUUAAUCCAUAAGACCAGACCACUAUUUUCAUAAUGAGGACCGACACUAAUUUCCGGCAGACUGUUCUGUUUAAAAGAUGAAGUAAUGAGGUUGUUCAUUUCCUGGUUAGUCGACAAAGGGUCCUAACAAGCCACGCCCAUUACAAUGUUUCAAACGUAGCAGAAUUGAAAACAUCUUAACUGUUCUGAUGUCAUAGUGAAAGAUCUAUCCUUAUGAAUAAAAAAUAAUACAAGUUGAAGUUUAUGACAUGAUUUAAAGAAGCACUGCUGUGGCUCUGCCUUGAAACUCUUGAGUUGUGUUUCCCAAAUCACCUCAUAUAAUUUAAUGGAUUAUAACAAUUAGUAGUAUUAUGUAUUAACUUAAUGUUAGCUCACGCUUGUUAUGGUGUUUUAGAUAUGUGGCCCAGCAGAUGUAACGUGAAUUUAUAGCCUUCAAUUGCAUCUCUUUUAAAUAUUGUAAUCAAUUUGACGUAUCUCAAGAAUGAAUACUGUACUGUCAUGUCAUCAUAGUAGACAGGAAUUUGCUUCUUUGCAUCUCUUGACGUAGCUAUCAACAAGAUCAGGAGGGUCACCAUUCAGAAAAUCAUCCUUCAGUUAAGUUGGGCAAAAUUUUUACCCUUUUAAGAUGCUAUAAUGUAAAUAUAACGAUGUAACAAAUGCCCCUAUUAUAUUUGACUAGUAUUCAGUAAAGCUUUAGAAUUUAGGCCAUAACAGCCAAGAUGGCAUAAUGAGGCCAUUCUGUGUUUUUCAGUGCAUUUGUUUGGUAGGACACAAAGAUAUCGCAAUCAUCACAAGAGGUGUGAAGAGCUUAUAUGAAGUUCCAGACCUCUCAGACAGAAAGAGAGCAUCUGCAUACCCGCCAGCCUCAUUUCCAACAAGUAUUUGGGCCAUCAGAGAGCAUUUGAGUGUAGUGAAAGUUUUUAAUUGUCUUUUAGGCUGUUAGAGGACAAUAUUGAUUCAUAAUUAAAACAGCAUUGAAAGGAUGUCUUAAGAAAUUUCAUGUUGUCCCCCUCUUUCUCUACAGUCUGAUGUUGUAGAUGGCAAAAUGGUCAUGCAGGUACAGUAUCAAAACCGCCAGAAAUACAUCAAAUUACAAUCAACUGAUUUUGAAGAAUUAAUUUCUGAAGGUAAACUUCCCAAUUGGUGUGACUAACCAGUAAUUCAAACAGAGUUUAAGUGAUGAUAUUGUAUAAUUUAAACGAUUUGUCAUGCCAUUUUGACUCUUAACCUCAUCACAUAGUGAGAGAGAAGUUCUCCAUCCCUGUGGACAAAAUCACUGCGGAAGAUGAUUGUGGCACUGAGGCAGAAUUAUCCACUCUCAAAGGGAUUUGUCAUCAAGGACAGUCAUGAUGACAAUGGUAAAUUUAAAAAAUAGCUUGGUUUUAUAUUACAUUAACAGAAGUGGUCAUUGGAGAUGCAACCAUUGCAUUGAUUUAAUUAUCUUAAAUCUAGUUUUAAUAUUAGCAUAUGGAAUAUUAAGACAAUUGUUAGAAAAGGUUUAACUUGAAGUACUGGGUUUAAUUGAUAAAGGAUUGCUUUUCUCUAUUGAUUCCUAAUUGUUCAGUCAGGAAAUAUAUAAGCAGAGUUUCUUGCAUGGCUAAAAGCAGGUGUCAUGUCUACUGCUGAAUUCAAGAUUUUAUAACUGCAAAUGAGGUCAAUUGUUCAUAUCUUUUGUUUUGAGAUUUAGGCGCAUUUCGGUCAUAACCACCAUCCACACCACUAUCUUCAUCAGGUGGGAGUUUCCACUCUGUGUCCAUCAGUAACAGUGACAGUGAGAUCUCAAGACCAUCCAAGCGAAUGAGAAGUGAUGAAGAGGUACUGCAGAGUUCUUCAGCCAGAGAGGUAAGUUUAUCAUCAGGUGUCUCCAUAUAGAGACAGUAUAAAUGCUAUCUAAAUUGUUAUUAUUAUCACCCUUUUGAUUUAUUUUAUGUGUAGCCCACCUAUCCCUAGUCUAAACAGGGAAGGGCCCUGAGUUCUUUAAAUCAACUGACUUAAUGUACAAUAAAUAAUACUUAGGCUAGAUGUUAAUCUGUUUCUCUUUUGUUUAUAUAUAUUAUUAGUAUUUGUCUUGGGUUCCUUUAUUCACUGCUAUGAACUGUAUUACACUUAUCAGGCUCACUUUUAUUUAACUCUUGCAUUAAAUCUAUGCACUGUAAUCUACCUGAUGAAUUAGACUAUUGCAAUGAAAUAGGUGAAUCACUCCUUUAAACAAAACUGUCACUGUUAAAUACCUCUAGUGAAAGAAAUAGGCUAACCAAGCAUCACACUGGAAGUUGUUUUAGAAAUAAUGAACUUCUCUUCUUUUUACUUUUGCAAAUUUCCCAUAUAAACAGUGAAAUAAUAUUUAGUCUCUUUCAAUAACUUGAGAUAUGGCAAUAUCUCUCUUCAAAUGUAAACAAUACACUCAAAGUGAAAUUUCGAUUACCUCUGGGCUAAAUUCAUAUCAAAAUUUACGGGCCCACAUUCACCAAGCACACACACCACACACAAGCCGGCAGGUAUUAAAAUAAAAUAAAAUAAA